rnacentral:rRNA from 1 species
ACGGGAGGCAGCAGUGGGGAAUAUUGGGCAAUGGGCGCAAGCCUGACCCAGCGACGCCGCGUGAGGGAAGAAGGUCUUCGGAUUGUAAACCUCUUUCAGCAGGGAAGAAGCAAGUGACGGUACCUGCAGAAGAAGUCACGGCUAACUACGUGCCAGCAGCCGCGGUAAUACGUAGGUGGCGAGCGUUAUCCGGAAUUACUGGGUGUAAAGGGUGUGUAGGCGGAGAAGCAAGUCAGGUGUGAAAUCUAUGGGCUCAACCCAUAAACUGCACUUGAAACUGUUAUUCUUGAGUGUCGGAGAGGUAGAUGGAAUUCCUAGUGUAGCGGUGAAAUGCGUAGAUAUUAGGAGGAACACCAGUGGCGAAGGCGAUCUACUGGACGAUAACUGACGCUGAGGCGCGAAAGCGUGGGGAGCAAACAGGAUUAGAUACCCUGGUA